rnacentral:rRNA from 1 species
CCUACGGGUGGCAGCAGUGAGGAAUAUUGGUCAAUGGGCGAGAGCCUGAACCAGCCAAGUCGCGUGAAGGAUGAAGGAGCUAUGGUUUGUAAACUUCUUGUAUAGGGGAAUAAAGUGAGGAACGUGUUCCUUUUUGUAUGUACCAUAUGAAUAAGCAUCGGCUAACUCCGUGCCAGCAGCCGCGGUAAUACGGAGGAUGCGAGCGUUAUCCGGAUUUAUGGGGUUUAAAGGGUGCGUAGGUGGUUAAUUAAGUCAGCGGUGAAAGUUUGUGGCUCAACCAUAAAAUUGCCGUUGAAACUGGUUGUCUUGUGUAUAUUUGAGGUAGUCGGCCUGCGUGGUGUAGCUG